UAAAAGGGUCGGUUGGCUAAAUAUGCCACGCUCGCCCUCGAUGGUGAGUGCUGUAUGGCUAUCAAGACAUAUGGCCGACACAAUUUGUGGCAACUUGUAGGGUUGGCUCGCUCGGCCGAUCCUCUC